UACGUAGGGCGCAAGCGUUGUCCGGAAUUAUUGGGCGUAAAGAGCUCGUAGGCGGCUUGUCGCGUCUGUUGUGAAAGCCCGGGGCUUAACCCCGGGUCUGCAGUGGAUACGGGCAGGCUAGAGGCAGGUAGGGGAGAACGGAAUUCCCGGUGUAGCGGUGAAAUGCGCAGAUAUCAGGAGGAACACCGAUGGCGAAGGCAGGUCUCUGGGCAUUAACUGACGCUGAGGAGCGAAAGCAUGGGGAGCGAACAGG
rnacentral:rRNA from 1 species